rnacentral:rRNA from 1 species
UACGUAGGGCGCAAGCGUUGUCCGGAUUUAUUGGGCGUAAAGAGCUCGUAGGCGGCUUGUCGCGUCGGAUGUGAAAGCCCGGGGCUUAACUCCGGGUCUGCAUUCGAUACGGGCAGGCUAGAGUUCGGUAGGGGAGAUCGGAAUUCCUGGUGUAGCGGUGAAAUGCGCAGAUAUCAGGAGGAACACCGGUGGCGAAGGCGGAUCUCUGGGCCGAUACUGACGCUGAGGAGCGAAAGCGUGGGGAGCGAACAGG